GUGGCGCGCAGCGGGGCGGCCACCGGCGGCAACGUGAGCGGCGGAGAGUGCGGCGGAAGUGGCCAGUGAGCCCCCGCUGACGACAUGCUGCCCCUGUCGUUGCUGAAGACUGCGCAGAACCACCCCAUGUUGGUGGAGCUCAAGAAUGGGGAGACAUACAACGGACACCUGGUGAGCUGCGACAACUGGAUGAACAUCAACCUGCGCGAGGUCAUCUGCACGU